CGAAGAAAUACAGAGAAGCUGCAGAUUAUAAGGAAAAUAAUCUGUUUAUCUUUUACAAGAGAAAAAAGUUCUGUUUUGAAAAUGUUCAUUCAUUUAUCAAUGUCAGUUUCAAGUUGAACAUUUAGUUGGUUUACUAGCUAAAUAUUUACUUUCACACUGAGUUUGACACUAAAUGUUUAAUUAUAAACUAACAUUUAUGAAUGAAUGAAAAUGAGGCUGAAUCAGGAUAAAUAACUGAUUAUCGCAGAUCAUUUUUUACUUUUUUAACUUUCAAACAUCAGCAGAGGUUUUUAUUAACGGAUGGUUUUUCUGUUUUGAUGAGUCUGAAUUCGGUGUUUCUGCAGAUCCUCAGGGUGACAUCAUGACCGUUUCCAUGGUUCUGGCUCCGGCUCCAUCAGCUGUGAGGAACAGUUCGGCCACCUGGACGCCGCCAUCACUGCACAGCGUCACAUGACCGACUGUCAGCUGCUUCACAUUCUGAUGCUAACCGCUAACUGAGGCUUCCUGUGGUCAAACCUCCAUUGAAGCAGCUGGUCCAACCGGGUCUGCAGGGUUCUGGACUCUCAUGUUUCGGUUCCAACCACAGUUUGGGCUGCAGAGAGAGGAAUCCAGAAAGAGUCCAGUCAGCAGGUUUCUGGUGCCAGCUGCUACCAGGAAGUGUUUGGCUGCAGUUUCCAGCCCUGAAGUUUUUCUGAACUCCUUCCAGGAAACGGAAGGACAGUUUUUAAUUCUCCCAAACAAUCCCAGAUGUAGUACCUCGGACGGCCACUAGGUGUCAGUGUGAAACUAGCUCUGCUGUGGUUCUCUUCUUCUCGAUUUAGAGUUCUUUUCUUAUAUUUAAAUGUAUUUUGUUGAAAAUUAAAUUAAAAGUUUUUUGUUAAUAUAAUUUAAUUCUGUCUGAUUAUUUCUGCGCCUCCCUGCAGGGGGCGCCGUAGCGCCUCCAACUCCUCAUCCUCUUCACCUUCAUCCCUCUGAUUUCUGGUUUUAGCAGUUAAAUGUGGACGGCUCUUUAUGAGGCCGUCUCUCUGCUCCUCUUCCUCAGAUCUCGUCUCUUCUACUGGAUUUUUCUUUGGCUUCUUUUGUGACGCUACAUUUGACCGUUUUCUUGUCUUUUCUCCUUUUCUCUGUUUUUUAUGCUCAGCCUCUUGUUUCCUCAGUGUUCAUGUAAAAUAUCGUCUUUAUUUUUCCUUUUCUGUCUUCAUAUCUUCUUUGUCCAUCUCAUCUUUUCCUGCAUGUUUUUAAUUUAUCCUCCUUAAUCUCUCUUUGAUUCUCCAUCUUGUAAUUUAAUUUCAGCUUCCUGAUGCCUCUUGCUUUAUUAUUACUUUAAACUACGGUGGCCAGCAAGGCGAAAAUGCUUCGCAAACGUCAAAACUCCAAAACGCACAAAAACAAAUCGAAGAGGAAAAUGUUCGCCACUAGGGGGCGUAACAGCAGGAAGUGCAGGAGAG